UACGUAGGGUGCAAGCGUUGUCCGGAAUUAUUGGGCGUAAAGAGCUUGUAGGCGGUUUUGUCGCGUCUGCUGUGAAAUUUUCGGGGCUCAACCCCGAACUUGCAGUGGGUACGGGCAGACUAGAGUGUGGUAGGGGAGACUGGAAUUCCUGGUGUAGCGGUGAAAUGCGCAGAUAUCAGGAAGAACACCCGUGGCUAAGGCGGCUCUCUAGUAACGGUACUGACGCUAGACGCGAAAAGCGUGGGGAGCAAACAGG
rnacentral:rRNA from 1 species